CAAAUUGAACUUGCCCUCCCUCACUUGCCGCGCAUUAAGUAAAUCUCAAAAUCGUAAACCACCGGAGCAAUUUCAUCCGUGGUUAGGGGCUUGCUUCCUUUUUUGAAUUCUUUCUCUGGGUCUAAUUGGUAUCUUCUCCUUUUAGAACCCUGUAUUUUCUUAGAAAAUUCUUUCACAACUUUUACAUAUUGCCUAUUGCCAGUCUUUUUC
rnacentral:lncRNA from 1 species